UUAUGUAUAGAAAUUCUUACUUUUAGUGAUGAUAACUCGAUCACAAUCGUUUACUAGUCUACUCUUAGCAUAUCUGAGCAAUCCAUAUAAUGCAAACCCAUCUUUGAUCAAUCAUCAGUAUAAAAAAUAAUAAAUUAUUAUUAGAUUUCUAUUUUCAAGCUUUAAUAUACAAAAUACUAUUAAAUCUCAAAUUUUUCCUCCUAGGAUCAACCAAGAUCAGGAUUUAUUUAAGUACUUGGAUCCUCCACUGGUCCAUAAGUCUUCUAGAGAGAAUCCAUGAAGAGAGAGGAGAUUCUAGAGAGAGAAAAUCCUAAAAAUAAAAUUAGAGAGAAAUUAGAAAGAGAAAGUGGAGAGAGAGUAGAGAGAGG
rnacentral:lncRNA from 1 species